rnacentral:rRNA from 1 species
GACGGACGCUGGUGGCGUGCUUAACACAUGCAAGUCGAACGGAAAGGCCCUGCUUUUGUGGGGUGCUCGAGUGGCGAACGGGUGAGUAACACGUGAGUAACCUGCCCUUGACUUUGGGAUAACUUCAGGAAACUGGGGCUAAUACCGGAUAGGAGCUCCUGCUGCAUGGUGGGGGUUGGAAAGUUUCGGCGGUUGGGGAUGGACUCGCGGCUUAUCAGCUUGUUGGUGGGGUAGUGGCUUACCAAGGCUUUGACGGGUAGCCGGCCUGAGAGGGUGACCGGCCACAUUGGGACUGAGAUACGGCCCAGACUCCUACGGGAGGCAGCAGUGGAGAAUAUUGCACAAUGGGCGGAAGCCUGAUGCAGCAACGCCGCGUGCGGGAUGACGGCCUUCGGGUUGUAAACCGCUUUCGCCUGUGACGAAGCGUGAGUGACGGUAAUGGGUAAAGAAGCACCGGCUAACUACGUGCCAGCAGCCGCGGUGAUACGUAGGGUGCGAGCGUUGUCCGGAUUUAUUGGGCGUAAAGGGCUCGUAGGUGGUUGAUCGCGUCGGAAGUGUAAUCUUGGGGCUUAACCCUGAGCGUGCUUUCGAUACGGGUUGACUUGAGGAAGGUAGGGGAGAAUGGAAUUCCUGGUGGAGCGGUGGAAUGCGCAGAUAUCAGGAGGAACACCAGUGGCGAAGGCGGUUCUCUGGGCCUUUCCUGACGCUGAGGAGCGAAAGCGUGGGGAGCGAACAGGCUUAGAUACCCUGGUAGUCCACGCUGUAAACGGUGGGUACUAGGUGUGGGGUCCAUUCCACGGGUUCCGUGCCGUAGCUAACGCUUUAAGUACCCCGCCUGGGGAGUACGGCCGCAAGGCUAAAACUCAAAGGAAUUGACGGGGCCCCGCACAAGCGGCGGAGCAUGCGGAUUAAUUCGAUGCAACGCGUAGAACCUUACCUGGGUUUGACAUGGAUCGGGAGUGCUCAGAGAUGGGUGUGCCUCUUUUGGGGUCGGUUCACAGGUGGUGCAUGGCUGUCGUCAGCUCGUGUCGUGAGAUGUUGGGUUAAGUCCCGCAACGAGCGCAACCCUUGUUCACUGUUGCCAGCACGUUAUGGUGGGGACUCAGUGGAGACCGCCGGGGUCAACUCGGAGGAAGGUGGGGAUGACGUCAAGUCAUCAUGCCCCUUAUGUCCAGGGCUUCACGCAUGCUACAAUGGCUGGUACAGAGAGUGGCGAGCCUGUGAGGGUGAGCGAAUCUCGGAAAGUCGGUCUCAGUUCGGAUUGGGGUCUGCAACUCGACCUCAUGAAGUCGGAGUCGCUAGUAAUCGCAGAUCAGCAACGCUGCGGUGAAUACGUUCCCGGGGCU